UAAAACACAGUGAAGGGGAACAAGUACUUUAAGGCUAGUUUUCAGAGAGUUGGUGGUAGGUGUAAACCAACAUUAGUUUUAAAAGAAAUUCCGCCCUGGAGUGGGGUAUGAUGAAUACCACCGGUUAGCAUGGCUGUUAUCGUGCUCUAAGAGGACUAUUAAUAUUUUUUUCUGGUCAAUUUGGGUGGUAACGCGGGUUUAUAGCUCGUCCCUGUA
rnacentral:ncRNA from 1 species